AUUGAACGCUGGCGGCAGGCCUAACACAUGCAAGUCGAACGGUAACAGGAAACAGCUUGCUGUUUCGCUGACGAGUGGCGGACGGGUGAGUAAUGUCUGGGAAACUGCCUGAUGGAGGGGGAUAACUACUGGAAACGGUAGCUAAUACCGCAUAACGUCGCAAGACCAAAGAGGGGGACCUUCGGGCCUCUUGCCAUCGGAUGUGCCCAGAUGGGAUUAGCUUGUUGGUGGGGUAACGGCUCACCAAGGCGACGAUCCCUAGCUGGUCUCAGAGGAUGACCAGCCACACUGGAACUGAGACACGGUCCAGACUCCUACGGGAGGCAGCAGUGGGGAAUAUUGCACAAUGGGCGCAAGCCUGAUGCAGCCAUGCCGCGUGUAUGAAGAAGGCCUUCGGGUUGUAAAGUACUUUCAGCGGGGAGGAAGGGAGUAAAGUUAAUACCUUUGCUCAUUGACGUUACCCGCAGAAGAAGCACCGGCUAACUCCGUG
rnacentral:rRNA from 1 species